rnacentral:rRNA from 1 species
CAGCCGCCGCGGUAAUACCGGCGGCCCGAGUGGCGGCCACUAUUAUUGGGCUUAAAGCGUCCGUAGCCGGGUUGGUUAGUCUCCCGGGAAAUCUGGCCGCUUAACGGUCAGAAUUCCGGGAGAUACUGCCAGCCUAGGGACCGGGAGAGGCCGAGGGUAUUCCCGGAGUAGGGGUGAAAUCCUAUAAUCCCGGGAGGACCACCUGUGGCGAAGGCGCUCGGCUGGAACGGGUCCGACGGUGAGGGACGAAGGCCAGGGGAGCAAACCGGAUUAGAUACCCGGGUAGUCCCGGCUGUAAACGAUGCGGGCUAGCUGUUGGGUGGGCUUAGAGCCCACCCAGUGGCGCAGGGAAGCCGUUAAGCCCGCCGCCUGGGGAGUACGGCCGCAAGGCUGAAACUUAAAGGAAUUGGCGGG